ensembl:lncRNA
GGGAAUGAAUAGCUUUACCAUAAUUCGGUGUGGUUCAGUAAUGUAGAACAUGUAGCCAUGACUACUGCUUUAGUUAUCAGAUACAUUAACGUGAACCAUGCAUCUGGAUACAGUCUAACCCUGAAGCAUUUGACAUUGAUCUACAGAGCAUGACUCAAUUAUGUUCUACUUACUCUACUACACCCAAACUUGCUCUAUAGUCUCUAGACUAGUGCUAAACAAUACACAGAAGAUGCAGAAGUCCAGUUUGUCUCUUUAUUCAGAAUAAUAAGUGUAAAUUAUAAUACAAGCAACCAGUUAAGACAUUCAGAAUGGAUGGAACAGUAACAUACAGUAAUCUCCCAGAGUGGUUACUAUGGUGAUGGAGUACAGCGCGCGAGAGAGAGAGAGAAAGAGAGAGAGAGAGAGGGGAUGAGGGGUCAUUCACAACACUAGCUCACAUGUCAACAUGUAAAGGAGAGAACUAUAUACACUCUAAUGCCUCAGAUGUCAUAUGCUGUCACACACACACGACCUGCAGUAUAUUGUCUGCACGCACAGAUAUGAACACUCAGGCACAUGCUUGUGGAGAAAAACAUGAGUACAGACAGAGACGGGCCCACACACUGGCACACAGAGGCAGAUGCAAAAGUCAAUAAACAAUCUAGCUACGGCCACACAGCAUCCUCCCUUUGUGACUGAGGAGAGAGGGGGUUGCUGCAUGCUGUCUGCCAGGGACAGAGGGAGGAGAGGGGAGAUGAGGGA